UUCAACGGAGAGUUUGAUCCUGGCUCAGGACGAACGCUGGCGGCGUGCUUAACACAUGCAAGUCGAGCGGUAAGGCCUUUCGGGGUACACGAGCGGCGAACGGGUGAGUAACACGUGGGUGAUCUGCCCUGCACUUCGGGAUAAGCCUGGGAAACUGGGUCUAAUACCGGAUAUGACCUCCUAUCGCAUGGUGGGUGGUGGAAAGAUUUAUCGGUGCAGGAUGGGCCCGCGGCCUAUCAGCUUGUUGGUGGGGUAAUGGCCUACCAAGGCGACGACGGGUAGC
rnacentral:rRNA from 1 species